GACAAUUUAAAAACAAGUUUUACAGUACAGGUGCGCAUUUAUUCACGUGGCAGCCUUGUUUCUACAUGUUAUAUACAUUUUGAGUUCUAUUUAAAAAUCAGUAGGGAAACUUCUAUUUGUAGCUUACCAGAGCCAGGUACGUUUCGUUAACUAGUGGGAACAGAAUACUCGUAGGUUAGCUCUCCUUAUUACUGAAGAGUAAUAUUUUUAAAUUACUAGCGCAGGCAGUUGGGUGUGUCUCUUCAACUGGGAAUAUAAUGCAAAGGUUUUGGAUUCCAUUACAGGACUCGCCUGUGAAAAGGUAACAUAAUGAGAGGGCACUGUGUGGACUAGUGGUGAGAAUGUGCCCUGAACCAAAGGCAUCUACAUCCAGCCCUGUCGAAUGAGAACAGGAGAGAAGCAGCCUAAUGGUAGCCAUUUGUAUGGGCCGCAGGCUGGCCUUGAUGAAGCAAACCGGAAAGGAACAUGCUCACUCAUGGGACAGUAGGCAAGAGAGGGGAGUGUUGGACUGUGAAGCUAUUUCAGAACUCUGUUCUCAGGACCCAUUAUUUUAACAGCCAGGAGAAAUACAUGCAGAAGAUGCACGGGAGCCUGAAGGAGGAACAGGGAAUCUGAAGACUCCAGAUGACACGGGAGCUGGUUUUCAACAGCCUUCUCGAUUUCCUUGCUCAGAAAGUAGAUACAAACCUUGGAGCCAGAUGGUGAGACUAUUCCUCCUGCGCUCUUAAGGCUUAAUCAUUGUAUUUUAAUAGAUUUUGGAGAAUACUUUCUCAGUUAGAAAUUAGCUUGUAAUCACCCAGUUUAUAUUUUGUGUUAUAUCUGUGCAAAUUAUUUCAUUGGGCACUGUGAGGUUUAAAACAAAACUGUGAAUAAGAUGCAAUCUUAAGGAGCUUACAGGGAAAGGAGAUAAUAAAUUGUGUCAAGCAGUAGAAAGAGGUUAAAUGCCAUAAGUAUGACACGAAAGAUAUUCUUCAGAACUCAGAGGUGUAGAUUACUCCUGGAGAGGAGGAUUGAGAAGCUUCAAAUCAGACAUAGUAGUUGUGCUGAUGAGACUUAAUGUGUUUUUACCAAAAACCAGAGAAAAUGGACAGUUAAUAUAAAACCUGAAAUAGCAAUCUGAUUCUAGAUAAAAAGUUAAUUAUUGUUUUGAGGAAAAAUAGAAGCAUGUUUGGUUAUUGUGGUUUUAUUAUGGUCUAAGUCAAUGAUUACUUUUUGAAUUAUAUAAAAUGGUUACCUCUUACAAGGCAAAAGUGUAUUAGCAUUUCUGAGAUGCAAUCAAAUAAGCUGAUUAAGUUACCACAAGUAGGUGGGCAGUACCACAGAAAGAGAUGGGCAAGUGGUUAAUUCUACUUGGAUUAGCACUCCUGUUAUCUAGUAUAGCUACAGCCUAAAUGAAUUUGUCAUGUCUUAAGCUCUUGCACUUUGCGCUGCUUACGCCUGGGCGGGGGCACUCCAAGCAAACUGGGAAAGGACGCAGUGAUGAAUUAUUGUGCUCAUAAUUAGUUGUGAAGAGUUCACUUUCAGUUACCUAGAAGAAAUCUCUUGAUAGAAGAAAGCAGAUAGGAAAUCCUAAAAUUCAUUGUAUUUUAAUGGACCUUGAUAUUUCUAAAGGAGGAAGGCAACUUUGAGCCAAAGUUUUCCCUUAUUUUAGGUGUAAGAUGGUGGGCACAGCGCUCAUACAAAUUCCUCUUUUCUUGACUGAUUCUGAUUAUAUUCAGAAAACCUAGUGAUUAAGUUAUUUGAUCAUCCUACUUAUUCUUUGUUUUAAUCAUUCUCUUUAUCCUUUCUGGUAAUUUAAGCAAGAAAAUCUUUGAAACAUUGUAUUUAUCAAAUAAAAAGAUUAUAUAGUUACUAAGGAUUAUUUGGUUGCUAGUCAUUCUUCACAUAUUCUUAUAUUGUUUUUUCCACUAAAUUGAGAUUUUUAAAUCAACCAGACUUUUAUUUGUUAAAUGCUAAGAGUGCUUUCAUUCAGGUAUAAUUAUGUGUUAAUGACUGAUAGUCUGAAAUCUGCUUUUAUUAUAUGAUAAACAUGGUUGUUACUGCACCCUAAUUCCCAACUUUUAAUUUUGUCAAAAUGAAAAUUAUAAUCAUGCAUAUUCUUGUGACCCACAAGAUAUAAUUAGUUUGUUGUUGUUCUUAAUUUGUCAGUGCCCUUGUUUUACCAAGUAACCAACAACCACUUAUGACGGAUAAAUAAAUCAUAGAUAGCCAGCUGGCAAAUUUACAUAGCCAAAAAGCUGUCCUUGAAAAAUUAUCAAAUUCAGAUCUUUUCCCAGAUAGAAAAGACAGAUUAUUUAAAAUGUACAAUGAGGGGCGCCUGGGUGGCUCAGUCGGUUAAGCCUCCGACUUCGGCUCAGGUCAGAUCUCACGUUCGUGGGUUCGAGCCCCGCAUCAGGCUCUGUGCUAACAGUUAGCUCAGAACCUGGAGCCUGUUUCCGGUUCUGUGUCUCCUUCUCUCUCUGCGCCUCCCCCUCUCAUGCUCUGUCUCUCUCUGUAUCAAAAAUAAAUAAAACAUUAAAAAAUUUUUUAAAUGUACAAUGAAAAGCUGUAAACCAUAUAAAAAUGAGCUAUUAGUGAUUGUCACUUAUGUAUAUUUAAAUUUUUUCAAGAUUUAAAAAUGAAUAUAUGUUAAAUAUGUUUUCUAAAAUGUUUUGUUAAACAAUUCAUUUUGAACGAGAAGUCCAUAGUCAAAUAUAUUUGGAGAAGUUGUCAUACUGUAUCUUUUCAGUAGACAUUCGAUUAGUCAGCCAUCGGGUCCUUUGUAUAUCUCAGAAGACUGGAUUUGAUAGGAUACAGUUGAAGAGUGUGAAUUAAUAUAUUCCAUGAGGUUUUACUGUAAUUUGUCCAUCAUACAGCUAACUUCCAGAAACAGGUAUGUCCUGUUUUUAAGUAGAGUAAUGCUCUUGUGAAUGAAAGGCCAAAGAGGGUGAUUAGGAAAAAGAAAAAGAAUGUGAUUAAAUGAAUAUUGCAAACCAUAUAAAGUAUGAAGUGUUUAUAAAGCUUCUCAGUGCCUUUUCUUUGUUCACUUGUCAACUUCUUCUUUGAAAAAAGAAAAUGGCCAUCCCAUAUAACUUACAAAAUAAAAUCACCCUUCCUAAUGUUUUAUAGGACUCCAUAUACUUUCUGUGCCCUGUUUAUUUCAGAGUGCAACAUUUAUUAGCUAAUUUUAGUAAAUAUUGGUAAUACAAAAUACUGACCAUCUUGGGUAGACUUAGAUAAUUGAUCAUAAAUCAGAUUAGCUUAAACACUUUAAUAUACUCAUUUUCUCACUAAGUGGAGUUUUUAUUGUCAUAUCUUAUGAUUUCUUACUGGGAAGAGUUUUUUAAGGUAUGGUUUUUUUUCUGAUUCAGUUAAAUUAUUGAUAACAAUUUCAGUAGGUGUUUUAAGUGCUAAAACUUUUUUGUCAGAUGUAGACAUAUCGUAUGAAGACACAAAAAUGGCCAGUGAUUCAGCUGGUUCUAACAGAUUGGGUUACCAGGUUGGUAAAGCA
ensembl:lncRNA